GACGAACGCUGGCGGCGUGCUUAACACAUGCAAGUCGAACGGAGUGGCGAACGGGCGAGUAACACGUGGGUGACCUGCCCUCCACUUCGGGAUAAGCCCGGGAAACUGGGUCUAAUAACGGCUAGUGUGGGAUGGGCGCGCGGGUUAUCAGCUUGUUGGUGGGGUAAGGGCCUACGAAGGCGGCGACGGGUGGCCGGCCUGAGAGGGUGGACGGCCACAUGGGGACUAAGACACGGCGCAGACGGCUACCGGAGGCAGUAGGGGGGAAUAUGGCGCAAUGGGCGGAAGCGAGAGGCAGCGACGCCGGGUGGGGGAUGCUGGCCUUCGGGUUGUAAACACCUUUCAACAUAGACGCGGUAGCUGGAGAAGAAGCACCGGCUAACUACGUGCCAGCAGCCGCGGUAAUUC
rnacentral:rRNA from 1 species